GAUGAAGAACGCAGCGAAAUGCGAUACUUGGUGUGAAUUGCAGAAUCCCGUGAACCAUCGAGUCUUUGAACGCAAGUUGCGCCCGAAGCCAUUAGGCCGAGGGCACGCCUGCCUGGCCGUCACACGUCGUUGCCCCCCCAUCUACUCCUUCGGGAUUGCGGGGGGCGGAUGAUGGCCUCCCGUGCGCCUCGCCGCGCGGUUGGCAUAAAUGCCAAGUCCUCGGCGACGCACGCCACGACAAUCGGUGGUUGCGAAACCUCGGUUGCCCGUCGUGUGCGGUCGUCGCGCAUCGAGGGCUCGAAAAAAUUGCCGGGUUCCGGCUCGGCUUUCAACGCGACCCCAGGUCAGGCGGGGUUACCCGCUGAAUUUAAGCAUAUCAAUAAGCGGAGGA
rnacentral:misc_RNA from 1 species